rnacentral:rRNA from 1 species
UACGUAGGGUGCGAGCGUUAAUAGGAUUUACUGGGCGUAAAGCGUGCGCAGGCGGCCCGUUAAGACAGGUGUGAAAUCCCUGGGCUCAACCUAGGAAUUGCGCUUGUGACUGGCGGGCUCGAGUACGGUAGAGGGGGGUGGAAUACCUGGUGUAGCAGUGAAAUGCGUAGAGAUCAGGAGGAACACCGAUGGCGAAGGCAGCCCCCUGGGCCUGUACUGACGCUCAUGCACGAAAGCGUGGGGAGCAAACAGG